rnacentral:tRNA from 1 species
GGAGAGGUGCUGGAGUGGUCGAACAGGCGCGCCUGGAGAGCGCGUAGCCUGAGUAAUCGGGCUCGUGGGUUCGAAUCCCACCCUCUCCGCCA